rnacentral:tRNA from 1 species
AAUUAAUGAGCUUGUUAAAGCAUUUGUUUUGAAAACUUAAGAAAGAAUUCAUAUUCUAUUAAUUU